rnacentral:misc_RNA from 1 species
AAAUAAUGUAUUCCCUACAUAAAGUAAUGUUUACAAGCGUGUUGUGGCUGGUGCUGGAGGCGGUGUGUGAAGGCCUGCGUCAGAAGGUAGAGUUCCUGCACAACACAUGGGGCGCUGCCUUCAGGAGGCUGAUCUACCUGGAGCCUCGACCCUGGCUCACCAGGAGCGUCUGGUCGCGUGUGCCUCUAGUGGGCACUCUCCCCCACCUAUACGAGCUCUCCUGCAGGUGGUGGCAACUGGUGGGCGGCGCCUGGCCACCGGCAGAGGCCUCCUGCGGCUACGGUGUCGUCAAAUUUGCGUUGGCGCUCGUCGGAGCCCUCCUAGUGGCUUGGGCCAUCGGGUCUUUAUUCUCUAAGAGGGACGUGGUCGAGGAGGAGGAAGACGAGGACGACUUCCUGCAGGCCAUGUGGAACAUCUUCUGCAGGACGCUGGUGGCCUAUUUGGUGUCUGACGCGUGCAAAAUGAGCUCCUCCAGGAAGCGGUUAGUCCUGAUGGCCUGGUAUUGCUCCAGUGCCUGCUUGAGGCUGGUCAGGAACGUAAUUCAGUGGCGCCGUAGGCUUGUGUCCAGGGCUUCCUUCGUCACCAGCGUGUUGGUGUCGCGCCUGCAGGGCCUAUUCCAGGUGGGGGACACGGAGCUGAGCGCGGAGCUGAGCCCGGAGCUGAGCACGAGGCUUCAGUACCGGAUGUUCGGUGGAUGUCAUUCGGCGGACGAUAAAAAGCCAAAGAAGAAGAAAACGCUAUGCCAGAAAAUCAGAGCCGUGCUGAGAGGCUUUUGCAGGUGGGUCGAAAAGGUAAUUUUUGCAAUAAUAUUGACAAUAUUUUUAAUCCUAUUAAUAAUUCCUAUAGCGGUAAUCGGCCUGGUUUUCGUGCCUUUGUUCGCACUCGGUUACAUCGUGAGUCCAGUAACAGGUAUUUUCACGGCUCUUGUUACCGUUCUCUUAAUAUUAUGUGUCUUUGUAGUUGCUGUGGUCCUAUUCCCGCUCUUCUUCAUCGUUUCACUGUUGUUCCAACAUCUCUACCCAGCCGACCAACCGACCUGCACAACUGAAGGUCGACCUGCACAACUUUCUACCAGUUCCGUAGCAACUUGCUGAACACGACCUGGACGGUUUACUGUUGUUAGGUGCUGGAGCGGCCAGCUGCUGGAGCGGCCAGGUGCUGGAGCGAACCCCGAGUGCUGGAGCGAACCCCGAGUGUUGGAGAGAACCCCGAGUGCUGGAGCGAACCCCGAGUGCUGGAGCGAACCCCGAGUGCUGAAGCGAACCCCCGAGUACUGAAGCGAACCCCGAGUGCUGAAGCGAACCCCGAGUGCUGAAGCGAACCCCGAGUGCUGAAGCGAACCCCGAGUGCUGAAGCGAACUCCGAGUGCUGGAGCGUCUGGGUGUACUUGUUGGGGUUGCCUCUAAACUGUCAAUAAAUCAACUUGUUUUUUUUCACACACACCCAGUGGCCACCUAAUACUACGAAUCCCGAGCGCUGUCCACUCAGCCGUCAGGCCCCGUGUGGGAAGCAGGCGGUUGUGGGAGCCUCGCCACACAUAAGCUCAAAACAUCGCCACUGAAGAUGUGAGGUUAUAUGACAGUGGCCUGCAGUCACCAGGCUCAAACCCACCGCUGCCACCAUUACUUGAAGAACACAAACAACUCAGUGUGAGGUUAUCUGAGUCUCACACCACCUCCCACAUUUUGGUUCUUUACACCCAAAGCUGCACAUUUAUUUUUUU